rnacentral:rRNA from 1 species
GAAUAUUGGACAAUGGGGGCAACCCUGAUCCAGCCACGCCGCGUGAGUGAUGAAGGUUUUCGGAUCGUAAAACUCUGUCUUGAGGGACGAAUUCCUCGGGUUCGAAUAGGGCCUGAGAUUGACGGUACCUCAGGAGGAAGCACCGGCUAACUCCGUGCCAGCAGCCGCGGUAAAACGGAGGGUGCAAACGUUGCUCGGAAUUACUGGGCGUAAAGCGCGUGUAGGCGGUUUGUUGGGUUCCGUGUGAAAGCCCUGGGCUUAACUCAGGAAGGGCACGGAAAGCCGGCAGACUAGAGUACUGGAGAAGUGGGCGGAAUUCCCGGUGUAGAGGUGAAAUUCGUAGAUAUCGGGAGGAACACCAGUAGCGAAAGCGGUUCACUUGACAGAUACUGACGCUCAGAUGCGAAAGCGUGGGGAGCAAACAGG